GCACUCAGUGUGUCUUAACUGACAAGUAAAGCAGGUAAAAAUCACGAGAGAUGGUUCGGACGUGUUUUGGGUUAAAAAUUGAUUUGUGGCCCCCAGAGGGUGUGGAGCAGGUAAGGGUGGCCCGAUGGAGUUGGCGGGGCCAUUUGGACGGUUAAAUGGGUGAAACAGCGCGAGCGAGCCAUGCCCGGGGCACGAGCAUGUUUUGAGCUGAAAAUAACUUACGGCCCCCAGAUAGACUGAGGAAGGGGGGAGGGUAAGUUUAGAUUAUAGUGAAGAGAAAAUACGAUUAUUAGCUGAAUUGUCGAUAAGAAACAACAGAUAUUUAAUUGAAUUCACAAGCACGCAUAUCAGAUAAUUUACUUUAAAAAGUUUAAAUAUAUGAAAAGAAAUUCAUUUUGAAAAUUGAUUUCUAAGAUUUCAAUUAAUAUAAGUUAUAGUCACACGAAUAUUUAGAACUUAUUUUAAAUCACAAAUUUUAAAAAUAUAUUUUUUUUUUUAAUUUGGUGUACAAUCAAAUACAAUAAAUUUGUUAAUAACUUUUAUUAAUUUUUUUUCUUUUUGGUUUUGCAGUGUGAGUUCUUGAUUUGCUUGAUUUUGACCUUACUAGGUUAUAUUACUGGGAUAAUUUAUGCAAUUUAUGCAAUCGUUAUCCGUGAUCAUGAUUAAAUUAUAUUUUGUAAAGAAAAAUUUAUUCAACUCUGUUGAGAAUCAAAAUAAUAAUAAUAAAAAAAGUUAAAUGACCAUCUAUAAACCAAUUCGACAUAGUACAUACAUGAUUGAAUCCACAAGCAAAUAUAUCAGAUAGCUUUGUACAUAAAUUUUCGGCAGAUGACAAAAAAAAAAAAAUCUACUUUUAAUUUUGAUUUUUGAAAUUGAUUCUCUAUAUUGUACAUAAAUGUUAAGGCGCCACGUUGAAAGUCUUCUCGAAAGAAGAGCUUCUAAUAAUAAUACAUCAUGUCGCGAAUUUGAAUUAAUCAGCGUCACAAUGCAUGUACCAUAUACCAGAUGCGAAAUUAAAUGCUUAUAAUAUCUUUUAACACAAUAAAUUUUGUUAAUCACUUUGAUUAAUAAAAUUUUAAUUAUAUUUUUUUUAUGCUUACAAUCUCUUUCAACACAAUAAAUUUUGCUAAUUACUUUGAUUAAUAAAAUUUUAAUUAAUUAUUUUUUUUUAUUUUUGCAGUGUGAAUUCUUGAUUUGCUUGAUUUUAACCUUAUUAGGUUAUAUUCCUGGGAUUAUUUAUGCAAUUUAUGCAAUUGUGGUUCGUGGUCAUGAUCAAGAUGAAGAAUGGCGUCCUCUUACUGCCUAAUUAUUUUUUUUUUAAUUAUUAUUAUUAUUAUUAAUUUAUUUAUUUUUUUGGAUAAUAGGAAAACAAUAAUUCUAGAUUUAUUUGAUCCAGAAAAUAUUUUUUUAGCUGAUAUGCUUUGGUUCUUUAACAGAAAUUAAUAAAAGUUUUGGCAUAUUGUCCCUAUUUAUUUUUAUCUUCUUCAAAAAAAAAUAUGUGAUUUACCUAAUAUAAUGCAGUUUACUAUUAUUAUGCUCAUAGAUAUAAUGUAUUUCGCUACGCUCUGAUAUUAGGCGUUAAUAUUGUAUAUUCUGCUACGGAGAUAUUUUAUACGCUUGAAUACACUUAUUUGUACCAUCAUAACUUAAAAAUCAAAACUGC
rnacentral:lncRNA from 1 species